GCGGAUGUGGCGGAAUUGGUAGACGCGCACGGGUCAGGUCCGUGUGGGUGAAAGCCCGUGGAGGUUCAAGUCCUCUCAUCCGCA
rnacentral:tRNA from 1 species